rnacentral:rRNA from 1 species
GCGGCGUGCUUAACACAUGCAAGUCGAACGGAAAGGCCAGUGCUUGCACUGGUACUCGAGUGGCGAACGGGUGAGUAACACGUGGGUGAUCUGCCCUGUACUUCGGGAUAAGCUUGGGAAACUGGGUCUAAUACCGGAUAGGACAACUUUUUGGAUAUUGUUGUGGAAAGCUUUUGCGGUAUGGGAUGAGCUCGCGGCCUAUCAGCUUGUUGGUGGGGUAAUGGCCUACCAAGGCGUCGACGGGUAGCCGGCCUGAGAGGGUGUACGGCCACAUUGGGACUGAGAUACGGCCCAGACUCCUACGGGAGGCAGCAGUGGGGAAUAUUGCACAAUGGGCGCAAGCCUGAUGCAGCGACGCCGCGUGGGGGAUGAAGGCCUUCGGGUUGUAAACUCCUUUCGCUAGGGACGAAGCGUUUUUGUGACGGUACCUGGAGAAGAAGCACCGGCUAACUACGUGCCAGCAGCCGCGGUAAUACGUAGGGUGCGAGCGUUGUCCGGAAUUACUGGGCGUAAAGAGCUCGUAGGUGGUUUGUCGCGUCGUUUGUGUAAGUCCACAGCUUAWCUGUGGGACUGCAGGCGAUACGGGCAUAACUUGAGUGCUGUAGGGGAGACUGGAAUUCCUGGUGUAGCGGUGAAAUGCGCAGAUAUCAGGAGGAACACCGAUGGCGAAGGCAGGUCUCUGGGCAGUAWCUGACGCUGAGGAGCGAAAGCAUGGGUAGCGAACAGGAUUAGAUACCCU